rnacentral:rRNA from 1 species
UGAGGAAUAUUGGACAAUGGGCGCAAGCCUGAUCCAGCCAUGCCGCGUGCAGGAAGAAGCAUCUAUGGUGUGUAAACUGCUUUUGUACGGGAAGAAACACUCCUACGUGUAGGAGCUUGACGGUACCGUAAGAAUAAGGAUCGGCUAACUCCGUGCCAGCAGCCGCGGUAAUACGGAGGAUCCAAGCGUUAUCCGGAAUCAUUGGGUUUAAAGGGUCCGUAGGCGGUUUAAUAAGUCAGUGGUGAAAGCCCAUCGCUCAACGAUGGAACGGCCAUUGAUACUGCUAGACUUGAAUUACAAGGAAGUAACUAGAAUAUGUAGUGUAGCGGUGAAGUGCUUAGAUAUUACAUGGAAUACCAAUUGCGAAGGCAGGUUACUACUUGUGGAUUGACGCUGAUGGACGAAAGCGUGGGGAGCGAACA